rnacentral:lncRNA from 1 species
UUUUUAAAAAGACCUUUUAUUGAAAUUCAUGCCAGGUGGGGGUUUUAGAUUUUGAUGGAUUCAUUUUUACAAUGUGAUCUCUUUUUAAAAUUAUUUUCCAAAUGAUUAUUGAUAUAGCAUAAUCUUUAGUUUGUCAUAUGCAUGCAUAUUUACUCAUACAAGGAAGAAAAAAUCAGUAGACUGUGGUCAAGAAAAGAAGGCAAAAACCAGAAUUUGUAGGAGAAAGAAGACAGAAAAACUGAAAGUAGUCAGGGAGAAUGAAUUUUGUUUGCACAUUUUUCUGGGUAAACUUAUUGGUUCAUGUCCAGCAAAGAAGUCAGUCUAGACAGUCUGCUGCUAGGAAGGCUAAUGAGGGGUUAUCAAAGGACAGAAUUUAACUGCUUAUGGAUUCUCCUCAAAACCUUGAGAGCUUCUCAGGGGGCUUACAUGCCAGGCUGUCUCUGGGCAUUGGCUGACAGUGUCCUGUCAUUAAGAUCUUAUCACAGCCAAGCUGGGAUGCACCAUUUUCCUCAUCACAGUUUUACAUGCUGAUUUUAAUGUAUCUAGCCACUUUAUUCUGACCUCUUAAUUAAUGUUUUAGGUUUUCUCAUUGUAAAAUAAGAUAAUCUGUAAACAAUAAUUUAGUCUUUUCCCUUUUGUUAAUAUUAAUAUGUAAACUGCUGACAAACCACAACUCAUGUAGGAUUAGAAACACAAACUAACAAGCACUCAGAGCACACAUCCAGUUGGUGUGGCUGACCAAGGAUCCUUUCUACUCAGAGGUAUUUGAUCAGUGUGGCUGAGGCAGCUCUAGUUUGGACCAGAGACCACUGGCAGAUGGCUCAUUUAGAGUUAAUUCUCAUUAUAAAAAUUUUUCUGAAAUCAUCUGAAUCCAUGGAAAGAUCUAUCUUCAAAUCUAGACAGUAACAACUCUUGCCUACAUAUUCAGCAGAUGGUUAAUUCUUAUGACAGUAGCACUCCACAAUCACUAAGCUCUAUGGGAUGCUAAGUUUAUUUCCUGUAAAAUCAAAGUGAAACAAGCUCUAUUUGGCUGAAAAUGGUUGUAAUAAGAUCCAACAAAAUAAGGUUGCCUUUGUUUCUUCUGGGGUUUCUUUUUAGAGCUAAAUUGGAGAGCUCCAUAAACUUUAAGAUGUAAUGAACUGACUCAUUUAUUUCACUCUGCUUUCCAUCUCUGACAGGUGCAUACACACACACGCACACAUACACACUCCACCACCACCACCACCACUAUUGCCAUCCCACUGCCACACCAGCUUCCCUACACUAUAGACCACACGGUCCUUGUAUGGGAAUUAGGUUUACACUAUGUAAAUGUUCCCAAGGAUCUACUAUGAAGCUCUGGCAAUGCUCUAUUUAGCCUAGGAAAUUUGCUGCGAUGCCAGACUAAGAGAUGGAGUUUUCUGUGGAAGAUAAAAGCUGCUUCCUUUAUUUGAAGAAAAUUAAAGUUUAUUCCACAGAUCAGUGGUUAACUCUCCAGGGCAAGCCCUUUUCUUCCUCCAAACUUCAACACAUAUUUCUACAAGUCAGGGAAAUAUGAAUCUUCUUCCUUGGACCAGCUAAAUGGAUAUCCUGUGGCAAGUUAUUUGGAAACAAUAAAACAGGCAAUCACCUGCUUAAGUGGCACAAUCAGAAAGGCCAAGAGAGACUUCCGACCUUUCCCGAACACCUUAAUAAUUGAAACUUACAUUGAUACCAUUCUGUUUGCAAAAAGACAGAAAUUCCCUAUUUUCAAGGUUCUUAUGUGGUUCUGAACCAUUCCUUUGAGGAACUGGUGUCAACUACUGUCACAUUAUAUUAAAGACCUGACAAAAAAGAGACAUGGGAUUGAUGUUUUUAACUGAGCAGAAGUUGAAAGCUACUGGGGCAGUACCUAGGGGACUUUAGGCACUGAGGGGCUAAAAAUUAGAUAUAUUGUGGUGCAGAGAGAUGAAGGAAGGAAGGGAAUCAAAGAAAGAAGAAGCAAUGACAACCAAAGGCAAAUUUUGCCUUUUUCUAGCUCCUAAUCUUUAUUGUAGCAGUUAUCUCUUAUUAAGCACUAUGUACCAGGUGUGCAAAGGUCUUUGCAUGUGUUUGCUCAUUACACCUUUACAUUUCUGUUUACAAGGAGCAGAGGGGUUUAGGGCCCUGGCUCCAGAGGUUUCUCCCUAGUAGGGGAUGAGAUCAUCCCAUGCCAUGUGAGCUUGUCAGGAACUUGGCAUAGACCCUGAGGUUCUACUCAGGGCCUGAGGUUCUCAAGAAUGAACAUUCCUGGACAUUCAGUAAAGAGUUGUUAAUAUCCCUGCCUGGAUCCCUUUCUUUCUAUUUUGAGAACAUUAAGAGAGGGAAGGCUACUGACACUUGGAAUGAAUAGUCAUGGGAAAGAAAACAGUCUUCAGGAACAAUUUCAGGAAGGUGUGAGAAGAUGAAGUGAGGACCAGAGAAUGUGUUCCUGGGUGGUGGUGACCAAAAACCACCAGGAUGGACUUGAGGGUCCCUAGAAAUCAACUGGGGAGGGAAAUCCUAGGAGAAAGAUUGGUCUUCUUGUCAACCUAGAGGGUUUUUUUUUUCCACUUACUAUGGUUUCAACACUAAAAUAAAUAUGAACUUAUUCCACACCUCAAACUGGUGAUUUGAAAUAUAUUUAUUGGAAAUAUUAAAAAUCUAUAUUUUUACUUUAGGGCAGAUAAUUGUGUUUUACCUCAAUGUUCUAGUUUGUAUUUAGCUUAAAGGACAUCCUUGAAAUAUCUGUUUUUUAUAAGAGCUUCAGAGUUAAAAGGGGAAAGGAAGAUUGUUUAGGUUGAGAGGGUUCUGUUUGGGUUUGCUUUGCUGUUGUCGGGGGCGCUGGGGUGAUUAGCAUCAUGCAGGGCAUGUGAUUCUGACACCCUCUUCUGUGGUGGGGGUGAGAAGGCACCGGUGCCACUAGUCCCUGACCUGUCCCUCAGACAAGUUACAAAUGAAGACUGAGGGGGUGGAGUAGCUAUGGAAACCAGGAGGGAAGGAUUUUUUUUUUUAAUGCAAAUGAAUUAGAACAAAAUGACUGGCAUCCCUUUUUCUUUUUCCAUCUGUGACAAAAGUUCUGUGUCCUGGUUUCUACCUUCACUUGGAGUAAAUUAUGGGGGAAAGAACAUCAUGAAGACCUGCUAUUGUCAGAGUGUCAUUUCCUCUUUCUAUCUUUCUGUGGAUUAAUUUUAAAUCCAUUUGAUAGAAUUAAUCAUAUAAGCCAGUCUCAUUUCCCUGCAAAUGUCUGCCUUCGUGCAGGUGAUUCUGUAGAAAGGAGUUUCUCCAAUAAAGCAGAGCUUCUCUUUCAACUCCAUGGACAUCAGAGAGAGUCCCUUUCAAAAAAGGAGGCUCAGGUCUGGAGAGACAAAGGCCUCUACUUUCGAAAAGGCCUCUUGGAUCAAGCCCAGACCCUCAUCAGAGCUGACAACAUGUCCAGCCUGCACUACUGCAAGAACUUCUUUGUCUAUGGUAGUGUGGUCAACUGAAGAAGCCGGCUUAGUUGCUCCAGUCAGGUGCUCACACUAAGAAAGGAUGGGUGAAGGUUAUAAAGUGGCUGUGAAUGAGAACUCGGUCUGGGCUCUACCAAGCAGAGAAGCCAUGCAGAGAUGAGAAAGGUGAAAGCCAUGAAACCAUGUUAAGCAGAAAAAUAAAAAUUCAAAACAGAAUGGGUGUAGCAUUAUAUAGUGUUCUGUGGAGUACCAUGAUCCUUCUUCAUGAAACAACUUCAAGGCAGACAUCUGGUGGUUUUUUCCAUUGCCCCCAAGGCAGAGAGUAACAGAAAGGAUGGAGAUGUGCAAAGAAGAAGUAAAAAGAUGGAAUCAGAAGUAGAAGAGAAGAGAACAAAAAGAGGAAACAGGGAAUAGAAGAGGUCUUCCCACCCCACCACCAUCAGCCCUGUCAAAAGUAACCUCACAGGCAUUUACCUCAACUGGGACUCCCUUAGAAAUGGUAGAAAAUUUAGUUCUCUAUGUUAUACAAAAACAGUCUUCUGCAUUGGCCUUUCAUAGUGCCUAAAAACACUUUUUUGCUUAUUGAAAAAAAGUAAUUUUAUAAUAUUAUUAAAUAAUAUUAAUUUGCAUUUUAAUGCAAAUACCCGUAGGAGAGGUAAAUCAUAGAAGCUAAUAUUUUGACAUUUUGUGGACAUUUAUAGAUAGCUAAUAAUGGUCCAUACCUCAAAAUGAAAAAAGGGCAGGUGCGUGUGUGUGUGUGUGUGUCAGUGGGGGUGACAAAAACUCUUGAGAAUAAACACCAAAGAAGAAGGUAUAAAGUGGGAGAAUAGCAAAAAUGAGGUGAAGCAUCUCAACUGGGAGACCUGGAAUGCAGAGAGACAGCUGACUCCCAUCAUCCAGGCCACGAACAUUUUCAUUGCGACCUUGUCAGUCACCUUCUAUCUGCUAUUAUUAUAUCCACUCCUGCCCCUCUAAAUCAUUCUCCACACAGCAAACCAGAGCUUCAAAAUACAUAAAGCAAAAACUGUUAGAACUGAAAGGAGAAAUAGACAUAUCUGCAAUUAUAGUUGGAGGCAUCAAUAGCCUCUUUAAACAAUUGAUGGAGCAACUAGACAGAAAAUCAGCAAGGAUAUAGAAGAACCUAGCAACACCAUCAAAUAACAGGAAUGAAUUGACACUUACAGAACACUCCAACCAAUAACAGAAGAAUACACAGGCCAGGCGCGGUGGCUCACUCCUGUAAUCCCAACUCUUUGGGAGGACGAGGCAGGUGGGUCACCUGAGGUAAUGAGUUCAAGACUAGCCUGGCCAACGUGGCAAAACCCUGUCUCUACUAAAAAUACAAAAAUUAGUCAGGCAUGGUGGUGCAUGCCUGUAAUCCCAGCUACUUGGGAGGUUGAGGCAUGAGAAUUGCUUGGACCCAGGAGGCAGAU